UUUGCAGCAGUGGAUAUGUUUGUUGCUGGUCACCUAGUUAUUCCAUGGUUCCAUCCAUCUGCUGGCUUCAAUAUAUAAUUUGUGUUUGUAUAUGUUGUAUAUAUACAUGCAGUAUUGUAUAUUUGACCCAUGGCGGACGUUCUGAUUAGAUGACCAUCAACGAACACAUUCAUGAUGCAAG